rnacentral:rRNA from 1 species
AUUGAACGCUGGCGGCAGGCUUAACACAUGCAAGUCGAGCGGGGAAAGGUAGCUUGCUACCUGACCUAGCGGCGGACGGGUGAGUAAUGCUUAGGAAUCUGCCUAUUAGUGGUGGACAACAUCUCGACAGGGAUGCUCAUACCGCAUACGUCCUACGGGAGAACGCAGGGGACCUUCGGGCCUUGCGCUAAUAGAUGAGCCUAAGUCGGGUUAGCUAGUUGGUGGGGUAAAGGCCUACCAAGGCGACGAUCUGUAGCGGGUCUGCGAGGAUGAUCCGCCACAAUGGGACUGAGAAACGGCCCAGACUCCUACGGGAGGCAGCAGUGGGGAAUAUUGGAAAAAGGGGGGAACCCUGAUCCAGCCAUGCCGCGUGGGUGAAGAAGGCCUUUUGGUUGUAAAGCACUUUAAGCGAGGAGGAGGCUACCGAGAUUAAUACUCUUGGAUAGUGGACGGUACUCGCAGAAUAAGCACCGGCUAACUCUGUG